UAGCCUAGUAGUUAAGGCUAUGGAUCACCAAUCCGGAGACGGCGGGUUCGAUUCCCGU
rnacentral:tRNA from 1 species